AGAGUUUGAUCCUGGCUCAGGAUGAACGCUAGCGGCAGGCCUCAUACAUGCAAGUCGAGGGGCAGCGGGACACUUCGGUGUUGCCGGCGACCGGCGGACGGGUGCGUAAUGCGCAUGCAAUCUACUUUACACUGGGGAAUAGCCUCCGGAAACGGGAAUUAAUACCCCAUAUAAUCUUAUUAGCGCAUGUUAAAAAGAUGAAAGCUCCGGCGGUGUAAAAUGAGCGUGCGUCCUAUCAGCUAGUUGGUGAGGUAAUGGCUCACCAAGGCUACGAUGGGUAGGGGUUCUUAGUGGAAGGUCCCCCACACUGGCACUGAGAUACGGGCCAGACUCCCACGGGAGGCAGCAGUAGGGAAUAUUGGUCAAUGGGCGCAAGCCUGAGCCAGCCAUGCCGCGUGCAGGAUGAAGGCUCUCUGAGUUGUAAACUGCUUUUGUACAGGAGCAAAAAAAUCCCUACGGGGGUUCUUGAGAGUACUGUAAGAAUAAGCACCGGCUAAUUCCGUGCCAGCAGCCGCGGUAAUACGGGAGGUGCAAGCGUUAUCCGGUUUUAUUGGGUUUAAAGGGUGCGUAGGCGGCUUAUUAAGUCAGUUGUGAAAUCCUAGUGCUUAACGCUAGAACUGCGAUUGAUACUAUUAGGCUUGAGUUAAGAAGAGGUAAGUAGAAUUUAUGGUGUAGUAGUGAAAUGCUUAGAUAUCAUAAGGAAUACCAAUAGCGUAGGCAGCUUACUGGUCUUUAACUGACGCUGAGGCACGAAAGCGUGGGGAGCAAACAGGAUUAGAUACCCUGGUAGUCCACGCUGUAAACGAUG
rnacentral:rRNA from 1 species